rnacentral:rRNA from 1 species
GACGAACGCUGGCGGCGUGCUUAACACAUGCAAGUCGAACGGAAAGGCCCUGCUUUUGUGGGGUGCUCGAGUGGCGAACGGGUGAGUAACACGUGAGUAACCUGCCCUUGACUUUGGGAUAACUUCAGGAAACUGGGGCUAAUACCGGAUAGGAUCUCCUGCUGCAUGGUGGGGGUUGGAAAGUUUCGGCGGUUGGGGAUGGACUCGCGGCUUAUCGGCUUGUUGGUGGGGUAGUGGCUUACCAAGGCUUUGACGGGUAGCCGGCCUGAGAGGGUGACCGGCCACAUUGGGACUGAGAUACGGCCCAGACUCGUACGGGAGGCAGAAGUGGGGAAUAUUGCACAAUGGGCGGAAGCCUGAUGCAGCAACGCCGCGUGCGGGAUGACGGCCUUCGGGUUGUAAACCGCUUUCGCCUGUGACGAAGCGUGAGUGACGGUAAUGGGUAAAGAAGCACCGGCUAACUACGUG